rnacentral:rRNA from 1 species
UACGUAGGGGGCAAGCGUUGUCCGGAAUCAUUGGGCGUAAAGAGCGCGUAGGCGGCCCUGUAAGUCCGCUGUGAAAGUCAAGGGCUCAACCCUUGAAUGCCGGUGGAUACUGCAGGGCUAGAGUCCGGAAGAGGCGAGUGGAAUUCUUGGUGUAGCGGUGAAAUGCGUAGAUAUCAAGAGGAACACCUGAGGUGAAGACGGGUUGCUGGGCUGACACUGACGCUGAUAGCGCGAAAGCCAGGGGAGCAAACGGG